rnacentral:rRNA from 1 species
CGGGUCAAAGAGGGGGACCUUCGGGCCUCUCGCGUCAGGAUAUGCCUAGGUGGGAUUAGCUAGUUGGUGAGGUAAUGGCUCACCAAGGCGACGAUCCCUAGCUGGUCUGAGAGGAUGAUCAGCCACACUGGAACUGAGACACGGUCCAGACUCCUACGGGAGGCAGCAGUGGGGAAUAUUGCACAAUGGGCGCAAGCCUGAUCCAGCCAUGCCGCGUGUGUGAAGAAGGCCUUCGGGUUGUAAAGCACUUUCAGUCGUGAGGAAGGUAGUGUAGUUAAUAGCUGCAUUAUUUGACGUUAGCGACAGAAGAAGCACCGGCUAACUCCGUGCCAGCAGCCGCGGUAAUACGGAGGGUGCGAGCGUUAAUCGGAAUUACUGGGCGUAAAGCGCAUGCAGGUGGUUUGUUAAGUCAGAUGUGAAAGCCCGGGGCUCAACCUCGGAAUAGCAUUUGAAACUGGCAGACUAGAGUACUGUAGAGGGGGGUAGAAUUUCAGGUGUAGCGGUGAAAUGCGUAGAGAUCUGAAGGAAUACCGGUGGCGAAGGCGGCCCCCUGGACAGAUACUGACACUCAGAUGCGAAAGCGUGGGGAGCAAACAGGAUUAGAUACCCUGGUAGUCCACGCCGUAAACGAUGUCUACUUGGAGGUUGUGGCCUUGAGCCGUGGCUUUCGGAGCUAACGCGUUAAGUAGACCGCCUGGGGAGUACGGUCGCAAGAUUAAAACUCAAAUGAAUUGACGGGGGCCCGCACAAGCGGUGGAGCAUGUGGUUUAAUUCGAUGCAACGCGAAGAACCUUACCUACUCUUGACAUCCAGAGAACUUUCCAGAGAUGGAUUGGUGCCUUCGGGAACUCUGAGACAGGUGCUGCAUGGCUGUCGUCAGCUCGUGUUGUGAAAUGUUGGGUUAAGUCCCGCAACGAGCGCAACCCUUAUCCUUGUUUGCCAGCACUUCGGGUGGGAACUCCAGGGAGACUGCCGGUGAUAAACCGGAGGAAGGUGGGGACGACGUCAAGUCAUCAUGGCCCUUACGAGUAGGGCUACACACGUGCUACAAUGGCGCAUACAGAGGGCGGCCAACUUGCGAGAGUGAGCGAAUCCCAAAAAGUGCGUCGUAGUCCGGAUCGGAGUCUGCAACUCGACUCCGUGAAGUCGGAAUCGCUAGUAAUCGUGGAUCAGAAUGCCACGGUGAAUACGUUCCCGGGCCUUGUACACACCGC